rnacentral:pre_miRNA from 1 species
UGGAAGACGAUAGAGAGGAGGAAGAGUAUGAUACACAUAUGUAUCACUUUGGAGAGCAUGUGGCACCUUCAAGACAGAGUAAGAGCUUAACUGAAGCUAACAAACAUGCAAGCCUACUUCAGAAAUGAAACAAGAAGCAGGACAAGCUUCUCUCCAAGUGGUGGAAGAUGAUCAAAUCUCUGAAGGAAAUGAUAAGCUGCUCCUCUUCCAACACAGCUGCGCCA